rnacentral:rRNA from 1 species
CCUACGGGGUGCUGCAGUGAGGAAUAUUGGUCAAUGGACGAGAGUCUGAACCAGCCAAGUAGCGUGAAGGAUGACUGCCCUAUGGGUUGUAAACUUCUUUUAUAUGGGAAUAAAACGUUCCACGUGUGGGAUUUUGUAUGUACCAUAUGAAUAAGGAUCGGCUAACUCCGUGCCAGCAGCCGCGGUAAUACGGAGGAUCCGAGCGUUAUCCGGAUUUAUUGGGUUUAAAGGGAGCGUAGGUGGAUUGUUAAGUCAGUUGUGAAAGUUUGCGGCUCAACCGUAAAAUUGCAGUUGAAACUGGCAGUCUUGAGUACAGUAGAGGUGGGCGGAAUUCGUGGUGUAGCGGUGAAAUGCUUAGAUAUCACGAAGAACUCCGAUUGCGAAAGCAGUUCACUGGACUGCAACUGACACUGAGGCUCGAAAGUGUGGGUAUCAAACAGGAUUAGAUACCCUGGUAGUC